UGUGUACUGUUACUGUUGGAAAAUAUAAGGAGUCUGAAAAAAAAUUUUCUGAUGGGAAACGUUAGCAUAAAAAAAUUUAGGAUGAAAUUGCCAAAGUUAUGAGUAAGAAGGGGCAUAUAGUAACGGGACCACAAUGUGCAGCUGAAUUACGCAGUUUGGAAAAAACAUAUAAAUCAAUAAAAGAUGACAAUAAUAAAUCAGGAAACAAUAGAAGAACAUGGCAGUUUUUUAUGAUCAUAGACGACAUAUUUGCCAAAAAGACAUGGUAUAUCCCAGUGGCAACCGCAUCGUCUACGGGUCUAUCCAUCACACGUACCGAAGGAAGCAAUGCAGAUUCAAAGCAAUCCAAUAAACAUUAGGAUAUUCUAUGUACG